rnacentral:rRNA from 1 species
AACGAACGCUGGCGGCAGGCUUAACACAUGCAAGUCGAACGCAUCCUUCGGGGUGAGUGGCAGACGGGUGAGUAACGCGUGGGAACGUGCCCUUCAGUUCGGGAUAACCCAGGGAAACUUGGGCUAAUACCGGAUAAGCCCUUAUGGGGAAAGGUUUACUGCCGAAGGAUCGGCCCGCGUCUGAUUAGCUAGUUGGUGAGGUAAUGGCUCACCAAGGCGACGAUCAGUAGCUGGUCUGAGAGGAUGAUCAGCCACACUGGGACUGAGACACGGCCCAGACUCCUACGGGAGGCAGCAGUGGGGAAUAUUGGACAAUGGGGGCAACCCUGAUCCAGCCAUGCCGCGUGAGUGAUGAAGGCCUUAGGGUUGUAAAGCUCUUUUACCCGGGACGAUAAUGACUGUACCGGGAGAAUAAGCCCCGGCUAACUUCGUGCCAGCCGCCGCCGUAA